rnacentral:rRNA from 1 species
AAUACAUAGCUUAAUGAGGGGAACUCAGGGAACUGAAACAUCUAAGUACCUGAAGGAAGAGAAAGAAAUUCGAUUCCGUAAGUAGCGGCGAGCGAACGCGGAUUAGCCCAAACCAAUAAAGUUUUCUUUAUUGGGGUUGCGGACAUAUCAUAACGAAGAGGUAUCGUAAUUGAAGAGGUUUGGAAAGACCAACCACAGAAGGUAAUAGUCCUGUAUGUUAAACGAGAAGACUGUAGAUAUGAUCCAGAGUACCACGGGACACGUGAAACCCUGUGGGAAGCAGGAGGGACCACCCUCCAAGGCUAAAUACUACCUAGUGACCGAUAGCGUAUAGUACCGUGAGGGAAAGGUGAAAAGAACCCCG